UAUCCAGUCUCAUGCUGCAUUCGCAAUGAAUUCUUACUAUCGAACCAAAGGUCAGAGUUAUUUAAGCUGUGAUUUUGCGGGCACUGGUCAAAUCACCGCUGUUGAUCCAAGUAAGUGAAAUAUGUUAUCCAAGACUUACAAUCAUCGAUGAAUAUUGAGAAACUUGCAAACAAAGUAUAAUUUAGCAUUAUGAUGAUAACUAAAUUCAUUGUCCAUUACAUUAAAUCGAUACGAUAUUUGCUAAAAACAAUAACCAUUAAGAAUUUUAAUAUUCUUCAUUCUGUGUUUAUGUGCAGGUUAUAUCAACUGCCAUUACCUCUAAAAGAUUGGAAGAGAAGGAUCAAGGAUGAGCUUGACAUAUGCCCUUAAAAGUGUUAAUCAGCAGAAUGUUGCUAAAGUUCAUUUGAUUAGUCCAACUCUUCCUUCUUUGAUGAUUGUACUGCCAUUGCUGUAUCAAAUGUGUACAAUUUGUCAAUGAUAAAAUGCACUGCUACUUCAUUCUUUAACUAGGGUUGUGAUUUUUCUUUCAUAGAUUAUGAACUUAUAAAUGAUAAUUCAGAUAUAAACCUUACUCCUCCCUCUCCUUCAACUUUUUCAGAUAAAGCUAAAUUCAGCAACUCAUUUUUUCCACAUAACUUCCAUUUCUUUUAUACUUGAAAAAGAAAAAAAAAAAAAGAAAACUUAAUUGUUCUCCCAAAUGAAGAACUAAUAUUUUAAUAUAAUAACAUUUUAAACAUUAAGAAUAUUAAACUUAAUUGGUAUAAUAUUAUUUUUUAAUUAUUUAAAAAAUUUUAAAUAAAUUUUUAUUUUUUAUUGUAUUUAAUUAAUUUUUUAUAUUUUAUUUUUAAUCAAAUAUAAUUAUUGAUUAAUUGUAAUUAAUUAAAACAUUAUUAGUCAUUUCAUAUUUACAUAGUGUCAACAUAAUUUUAACAUGAAAAAUAAAAAAAAUCACGUAAUUUUAUUAUCAUGUCACAUAAAUAUAUCACGUUAUAAUCCAUAACAUGUUUGUAUUUUACGUUAACUUUAUAUAAUAUAAAAAUGAUAAAUCAAAAAUAAAAAUAUAAGAGUUUGAUUGAAUAUAACAAAAAAAUAAUAUUUAUUUGAGUUGUGUAGAAUAAUUUAAAAAAUUUUAUAUAUUUUAUGUUGAUUUUAUUUUAUUUUAUAAAAUUUGAUUCUGUCCAUUUAGAAUAAGUACCAUUAACAAUUAAUUAGUAUCUUUGAGAAAAAAACACAUAAUUAGUUUUGUAUAGUCGUUACUAUCAAUUUUAAAAUAUUAAUUUUUUUUUCAAAAUUAUACAAUUUAUAGGUGUAUUUUAUUUUAAUCUCAAAAUUCUAAAAUUGUUAUGAAUAUUUUUGUGAAUAUCCAUUUAUCUAUAUCUAGAUUUGAUGUAAAUUGGGUUGGAUUAGGAUUUAAUUCAUCUAAUCUUUUGCAGUAUGCUUGGUUCAUUGGAAGGAAUAGAAUGAGAAUAGAAUAGUCAUUCUAAGGGAAUAAAAUAGGAGAAAAAUAACUAUUAUAUAAAUUGGUUUAUGAAAAGGGAAUAUGAUAAAAAUUAUUAUUAUUACUUAUUCCAUUAUUUGAUUGGUAGGAACAAUUUUAAGAAUAGUUAAGGAAUAAUGGGUAAAUGAUAAAAAUACAUUUUAUUAAAAUUUAAAGAUUUUUAAUUUAAAAAUAAAAAUACUAUGAUGAGAAAAAAAUACUUUUUAUUAAAAUUAAAGAAUUUAUUUUGUUAAAAGAUAAAAAUAUUCUAAGUAAUAACAUCAAAAUAACUUUUACUAUAAUUAAAUAAUAUUUUCAUCAAAAUACAAAUAUAUUUUUAUUAUAAUUUAAUAAUAUUUUGUAUCAUAAGAUAAUUAAACCUUUUAUUAUAAUUAAAUAAUAUUUAAUAUUAAAAAAUAAAAUAUAUUCUUCAUUAUAUUUAAAAAAUACUAAAUAAUAUUCUUUAUUACAUUUAUUAUAUUCAAAUAAUAAUAUUAAAUACUAUUCAUUAUAAUAUUUAUUAUAGUUAAAUAAUAUUAAUAUAUUAUAUAAUAUUUAAAUAUUUUUAUUUCCUUUUUUUUUAAAUGAAGUGAAAAAUUUUGUGUUUUCUGUUCUUUAGAGAGAAGAGUGAGGAAGAGAGAGAAAAAAUAGGUUUAGUAUUUUUUUAUAAAGUAAUUUUUUGAAUUGUAAAAAGGUGUAUUUGUCUAAUCAAUUCUUUUUUUUAUUUCCAACAAUUUGGAAUAGCCAUUACCAAAGGGGACCUUGAUAAUGGCUAUUCAGGCUUUUCUUGGAAUGACUAUUCCAAAAAAUAACUAUCCUAUUUAACCAAAUGCAGUUUUAUCUCAAGAAUAAAAAUAGAAGAGGAAUGGUUAUUCUAUUCCCCCCAACCAAGCAUGUCUUACGUGUUAUCUUCAUUUUGUAAAUUCUAUCAAGAUAAGGGGGUUAUUUGUCUAUAAAUAAACUUCCUCAGUUCAUUUGUAAAUGCACAUUUCUAAGAUCUCUUUUCUCCUUCUAAAUACUUUUUUUCUUUUAUUUAAUUGGUCUUUCAAGUUAACCUUAUUUGUUCUUUUAAGUUAUACUUUCACAACACGUUAUCGACAUGAUCUUCUGAUCUCUUAAGUUUAGAAUUUGUUUUCAUCAUUUUCAAGCUUCAACAGAAUUUCAGUAAUUAGGUUUUAUUUUCUAGUUUUAGCAAAUCAGGUAAGUGUUAGUAUUAAUUUAUUUUCAUCCUCUCACAAAGGUUGUUUUUUUUUUUUUUUUGAUUUUAAAAAAUCAAGUAAGUGACUUGAUAUCCUUUUAGUAUUUUCAUUCCCUAAAAAUCAACUUUAAUAUGAAUUUUGUUAUCAUGUAGUAUAUAUUAUAUUUUGUCCCUUGCUAUUAAUGAAAAAUCAUAAUGUCCAUUUCCUAAAAUGAAUGUGGCAAACGAGUUACUAAUAAAAAAUUAUAAAUUUGACAGUUCCUUUAAAUGAAUGCAACAUCAUUUAAUAAUUAUGGUUAUGAUCAUGAAUUUGUCUAUUCUUUGAAGUGAAUGCCACAUCAUUUAAUAAUUAUGAUCAUGGACAUAGAAGAAAUCGUUAUAAUAAUUUAUACUAUUACGAUUUUAAUUAAGGAUAAUUUUACCACGAGAUGUGGAUGGAUACC
rnacentral:lncRNA from 1 species